rnacentral:tRNA from 1 species
GGAGAGGUUCCCGUAGCGGCCUAACGGGGGUCGGAGGUUUCUCCGACAAGGGUCUAUGGCCCUCGCAGGUUCGAAUCCUGCCCUCUCCG